rnacentral:rRNA from 1 species
GUGGGGAAUCUUGCGCAAUGGGCGAAAGCCUGACGCAGCAACGCCGCGUGCGGGAUGAAGGCCUUAGGGUCGUAAACCGCUGUCAAGAGGGACGAAGCGAAAGUGACGGUACCUCUAGAGGAAGCCCCGGCUAACUACGUGCCAGCAGCCGCGGUAAUACGUAGGGGGCGAGCGUUGUCCGGAUUCAUUGGGCGUAAAGCGCGCGUAGGCGGCUUGGCAGGUCGGGUGUGAAAACCGGGGGCUUAACCCGCGGACUGCACUCGAAACCGCCAGGCUUGAGUCCGGUAGAGGGAAGUGGAAUUCCUAGUGUAGCGGUGAAAUGCGCAGAUAUUAGGAAGAACACCAGUGGCGAAGGCGGCUUCCUGGGCCGCGACUGACGCUGAGGCGCGAAAGCUAGGGGAGCGAACAGGAUUAGAUACCCCGGUAGUCC